GCUGCUGCUGUUGCUGUUGCAGUUGUCUUUGCUGUUGCUGUUGCAAUUGUCGCUGCUGUUGCUGUUGCAACUGUUGCUGCUGCUGC